CGCGUGCAUGUGUGUGUGUGUGUGUGUCUGUGUGUGUGUCUUGUGUGUGUAGACUGACAUAUAGUCUGCGAAACGUCUGCUGGAAUUACGUCUCUUCGCUUUACUUACGUGUGACGCAAGCAAAUGUUUAUUCAAGAAAUCGUUGACUGGUUCGGAAGAUUUCCAAUAAUUUGUCUCUUAUAAAAAUAAAAAUAAAGUGUUGUGCGGAGUGCAUCACAUUUUCAUUAAGCAAGGAAUGGAAAAUCGUCUCAGCGGUCGUAUCAAAGCAGGAUACGUGUGCAGGUAAUGGAAGGCCAGAUAGACCCGUAAUGAUAGUGGAAAGUAGUGGAAAUUGGUGCCGCUAUUGCUGUGCCAACCGUUCAAGUAUCAGGAAAUGUUUGUUAUUAGUAGUUGCUCUCAGCGUUGUUUCCCUCUUUGUCUUCUCCUAUUAUAUCUCCAGGUUUCAGUUACACAGGUAAGUUAAUGCCA